GAUGAACGCUGGCGGCGUGCCUAAUACAUGCAAGUCGAGCGAACGGACGAGAAGCUUGCUUCUCUGAUGUUAGCGGCGGACGGGUGAGUAACACGUGGAUAACCUACCUAUAAGACUGGGAUAACUUCGGGAAACCGGAGCUAAUACCGGAUAAUAUUUUGAACCGCAUGGUUCAAAAGUGAAAGACGGUCUUGCUGUCACUUAUAGAUGGAUCCGCGCUGCAUUAGCUAGUUGGUAAGGUAACGGCUUACCAAGGCAACGAUGCAUAGCCGACCUGAGAGGGUGAUCGGCCACACGGGAACUGAGAAACGGUCCAGACUCCUACGGGAGGCAGCAGUAGGGAAUCUUCCGCAAUGGGCGAAAGCCUGACGGAGCAACGCCGCGUGAGUGAUGAGGGUCUUCGGAUCGUAAAACUCUGUUAUUAGGGAAGAACAUAUGUGUAAGUAACUGUGCACAUCUUGACGGUACCUAAUCAGAAAGCCACGGCUAACUACGUG
rnacentral:rRNA from 1 species